UUUCGGCCCCACAGCUUGCUUCCCUACAGAAAUUUACCCGUUACUAACAGAAACCACUUGUUUCUUUCACAUCAUAACAAUCCUAAUCAGCCAAAAAAUUAUAAGUAUUAUUAUUCUUUAUUCAAACAAAUAGGAAAAGAAAUCAAUGAAGCCAAAAGAGGACCCUAAUAUGUGUAUCUUAAUUCUUAAAUGUCUUUCAAACUACCAAGCAGAUGAAGGGUACUGAAUGAUAUGGGAUGACGAUUUAGUUGUAUACUUGUUAUAUUAACUAUGAUUACUAAAAGGAACUUCAUGUCAGAUAGUAUUCCCUCCCAUCCCCUAUCUCUACAUAAAGACAUGUGGCUCAUGUAAGAACCCAGAUACUCUACUAUUUUCCUCCACUAAUAUUGCUGACUUAAGGCUAAAACACAUCAACUUCCUGCAUAUACUGGCACAAAUCUCAUCCUUCAUCAUUAUGGAAUGAAAAAGCUAAGAGCUCCAAACCAAUCAAAACUCUAAUCUCAAUUGGACAAGUGCACUCAUCAGGACAGAGCCAGGGUUUUGCCUUAG
rnacentral:misc_RNA from 1 species